UUACAGGUUUUGAAAUUGCUGAAAAUCAAAGUAAUUGGAAGAACAAAAAUCAAAUGUCUUUUACUAAGCUUGGAAAAUCCUUACCCUUUUCUGGAAUUUUGAGGAAGCUGGAGCAAGAUGUGGAAACUGUAAUAAGGGUACUGCAGCCUGGGCCAGUAGGAAUUGUGGAGCAUAAAUUUACAGAUAAAGAAAUACAUGAUGCAAAUGCUAUGGUAAUAAACGCAGUGAAGAAUUGGCAAAGGAGAGCAUUAUUGGAGAAAAGUGGUGUUCUGAAAGAUUACGUGGAGUUUUGAUAGGAACUUGUACAUAUUUUAAAGUCUUGGAAUGUGUUUAAAUUGUCAAUUCUGUAAAAGUCUAGUAUUUUGUUAGGGUUUCACUUUAAGGAUCGUCAUUUAUUGAAAUUAAGGUCUUGCAAUAAGAUUUGCUGAUCCUUGACAGUGUGUAAUUCUGAAUUGAACUAAAUUGAACUACCCCAUUCUGGCAUUACUGAGAUGAGCAUUUUGUUCGUACUAUAUACAAGUUCCUCAGUUUUGAGUGGAGAAAACAA